rnacentral:lncRNA from 1 species
AUGAGGAGUGGAGGGACAAGGGAAGAGCCAGCUCUGCAGAGCGAACCUGAGCCGAAAAGGAGAGGAAAGAGCAACGUAAAAGUGCACCUUGGGUCUGCAAAAGCCAGGGCGGGCUACCGUGAGGAGACGAGACAGCGGGCUCCUCCUGGCGUCUGCUCUCCUCCAGCCGUCCGACUCUCGGGAGCUCCUGAGGUCUGCACGAGGGUCCUGAGAGUCGCCGGUGCCAACCUGGGGUCUCUGACGGCCCCGCCCACUUCUCCAGCCACGCCCUCAGGCCCCCGACAGCCUCAAGUAGGGACAACCGCAGCGCCCCCCAGGGGUGAGUGGGGGAACCACGCGCGUGGUGUCGUCCACAGCACAGAGCCCGACUCGUGGAGAGGGUGCCGUUGGACACACGCUACAGCAAGGGGAACGGUGACACUCCGUGUAACGGAAGAAGCCACUCCCGAAAGGCACACACUGAGCCUCAGGUGUCCGGCUCACUCCAGAGGGCUCCAGGCCCCAGCCAGGACAGUGACCCCAGCCACGUCCAACUGAGGACCCCAUGAGUCCACAGGGAUGGUCUCGCCCUGGACCUAGGACGAGGGGCCCGGGGCUCUAGGUGCCCAGUCCCUGGGCUGCUCUGCUCAGGGGGAGCCCAGUGAAGAGGAACCAUGUGCUAGCAACACAGGGGCCCUGGGCCAUCAACGGAGGACCGCGUUUCAGAAACUUCCAGAAACUUUCAGGAGCCGCGGGACCCUGCAUCACCCGGGCCGAGCGUCUAAUUCAUAGAGCAGGACUGAGUCCUCCUCUCCUGUGGGCCCCCCUCACUGAGGGGUCUCAUCCUCUCCCACGUGACCCAAUCCAUGGGCUCUGGGCCCCAGUGUGUCCUCUUGGGCUGCUCUGGGGGUGUCCCCAGCCCAGGCAGACAGACCCUGGGAGCCUGGGGGGACCCCAUCACCGUGGAAAGUCCCCCCUCCCAUGCAAUGACCCUGGCUUGCUGCUAGGAGACUGGAUGCCCCUGGGCCUUGGCAGAGCUGCCUCCAACGUCUUCCUUCUUCCUUACCUCCCAGGGUCCCCGCUCCUCUGCCCUGGGCCCUGUGAGUCUAUGUGUGAGUGUGUUAGCAUGUGAGGGAGUAUAAGUGAGUGUGUGCUGCACUUCUGGGUGCAGCUCAUAAAGCAGAGAGGAAAUGGCCUACAGAGGAGGGGGAGGCAGGGAUCCCCCAGAUCUGAGGGCCUUCAUUCCCCUUGCAGACCCUGUAGGGCUGAGCCUGGCCUGGGAAGCCAGGCCCCUCCAUUCCUGACUGGACACUGCUUACCUCGUGGACACAGUCAGUCCCGUUCUCUCCCCUGCCUCAGUUUCUUGAUUGUUCCGGCAGGGGUUGCGCACAGCUCCCAGGACGCAGAAGCCUCCCCUCCCUCAGGCUGAUGCGGGGCGCUCUUGGACCUCCCUCCCGGGAGGACACCCGAAACUCCGCACAGGGCAGCUGGGCCUCUGUCCUCUGGACCCAGGACGCCAUGCACAUGACCCCUGUGCCUGGACUGCCACGCUCCGAUGGCUCAGCAGGGCCUGCCUCGUGUCUGUCCCCGUCCCUGCCGCCUGAGCUGUGCCCCCACAGCCUCGUCUGGCCAACUCUACCCCAGUGGCACUGAGAGUGGCACGAGGACUUCCUUCUGCACAAGCUCCAACUCGAGUUAAAUUCGCACAGGAUGCUAGCGAGGUCCUCCCCUCAGUGUCCCCUCUAGUCAGUGGUCACAGUGGGCAGGGAGCCCUGGGUGCCACCCAGCCCAUGGGCCAGCCCCUCCUCCCUGCACAGCCCCUGCUGUGACAAACUGGUGGAUCUCAGGAGUGGGGCAACCCCGAGGAACAAGCGGCUGCUGACUCUCCAGACCUUCAACCCAGGGCCCUGUGGUGGAGGCAACCUGAGCACCACCGGAGUCUCCACCUGCCCCAGGCCUCUGUCAAGCUCUGUGUGGAUUCCGGGAGCCUUGAAAGCGUCUCCCUGCCGCAGCGCUGCUCAGGCUGUGCCUUUCAGGGUGCCAGGUAUCGAGUGUGUGGUUGUGGGGAGUCCAGGCCCCAUCCCAGGCCCACCCCAGGCAGCUGGACCCUGGUCUGAUACACUGGUGUCAGCGUAAGCAUCAUGGGAACGACCCCUUUCUGUCCCCAGAUGAGCAGAUUUAAAGCCGCUGGGCUGGGUGGGCCCCGGGCCAGCCCUGCCCCUCUGGCCUCCUCAUGCCCUGUUCCUCUGUGGCCAUUUGAUCAGGGUCCCUGUGAGUUCACAGCCCACCCGCCCAGCUCCCCAGAUCCCAGCAGGAUCUCAGGAUCCCCAAGUCACUCCCGGUCUGGCCCAUCAUCCCACACCAGCCAAGACCUGGCUGGACACAGGCAGAGCCCGCCGCACCCCGGGGCCAGUGCCUGUCCAGCACUGGGGAGCAAAUCCACCCACACCCC